GGCAUUGUGAAAAUAGAAACCCAAAAUAUUGUGCAAUGAGAAAAUACAAGCAUGAAGCUGAAGCAGGAAGUUAAAGACAAUGAAAACACCAGCUCUAGCCCCAUCCCUGGGAAAACAAACAAGCAACAAGCAUAUCAACCACCACUGAAAAGCUUUAGAGUAUACCCAAGAGAAAUGUUUGCUUAUGGGCAAAGCCCAGACUCAUCAGAACCAUACAUCAGGCCCUUUGUGAUUUGGCCCCACCUGCUCAUUUCUCAUGAUUAAGCCCUCCCUCCUCACUCCUUCCUUCCCAAGUAUCUGGUGCAACAACCAAACCAAACCAUUAUCCUAAAAACCCGAUGUGUGCUUUCAAGCUUCCAUGAAGUUGUGACUUCUCUUCCAAAGGCUCCUUCUCCCUAUUUCUAUCUGGUGAACACCUCUCACUCUUCAAAUGACAUCUUCACCCUGCAUCUUUUCAUAAACACCAUCGCCUUGACCCUCAAAUAUUUCAAUGAAAAGACUUCCAAGGCAACAAGGAAUGUGAUUCAGUGUCCUAAGGAGUUGGAUGUCCUGGCUGGAGGGACCUUAGACAUCUCAUGGUUGAAUUUUCCUAUUGUUCAGUAACUGUGCGAUUUCCCUCCCUCCUUGCCGACUUUUAUGGAAAUGAUCUUCCUGCUGCCUGAAGUGUGUCACUCUGCAUCUUGCCAAGAAGAAAACCUCUCCAUAGAGAAAAUGACCCAUCUCUUCCCCUCUGCAACCAUCUGACUUAAUUAUGCACUGCGCUUGGCCCCUGGAGAGCCCAGCGAAGAACACGAGGAAGUCCUGGCUUGAUCGCCAAGCCCUAGGGUCUUUGUCAAUUAUCAUCUGGCACCCACGAGUCUGGCCAAAUUUACAGGCAUGUCUGUCUCUCAAAACAUGUCAGGCCUGAAGAGUGAUUCACUUUUUUUUUUUUUUUUUGGAGCCGCUAUAAGUAGAACAAUCUUUUCCAUUAAAACUCACUUUACUGUCUUCUCAACACCCCAGAGCCUCUUGAACACACCUUCCACUCCACGUGUGAUGCCUGGGAGACUGCAGUUGAAUAACAUUACUCCUUUCCCAGGACUCAUGGCAUGUAUGGAGGCGUUGCCGUCUAGAGGAAAGGACACGGGCUUCGCAGGUUUUGGUUGGUGAUGUGGAUUUCACAGAGGACCUGAUGGUUUGUCAAGUCACCAUGAAUAGGUUUACUCUUGAAAAUAAUAAAUAUGAUAAUCAUCAAGCAUGUGGUUUCCUAUCCUUUAAUUUUCCUUCACCAGGAUUUUGAGUUUUUUAAAGUCAAAGUUCUCUUUACCAGAGGAUUAAAGC
rnacentral:lncRNA from 1 species